rnacentral:rRNA from 1 species
AUGCGCUGUAAGGAGCAGGGCAACGGAUUGGAUCGAGGGCGCCCUGGCCUCGCCGCCGCUGCACCUGGAUUCGCUGGCCGCCGCGUCGAGUCACCUCCGUCGCCGUCGCGAGUCAGCUCCACCGUUGCCGCCAGGAAUCCCUUCCCGACAAGGAAAAUUCCUAGGGAUUUGAUUGAUGGAGGCAUCACUAUUUGGCGCUGGAUUAUCCAUUUUUGCAGCACCAGCAAUGUUGUUUUUGUUUGGAAUGGCCAGUUCUCAAUUUCUAAAUCGGCUAUACUAUACUUCUUGUCAGGUUACAUUAUCUUGCUUGGUUUCAGUCUAUAUGUAGCACAAAAAUAG